AUCUGGAGGGGUUGGCUUUGGUCGUUGACAAAAAGACUUUUCUCUUGCCUAGGGACAGAAAUCUUUGUGGCGGCAACUGCACCAGAUUUUAAAGCUUUCAUUCUGGAAUCCAAUAGAAGUCAAAUCAACCACUGAGAGGGAAAAAUGGAACAAGCAAACCCUUUGCUAAUCCAAGGAUUCAGUCCUAGGUGUAUCCAUGUAUGGGUGUGUCCAUGUGGUGUGCCUACCUUGCUCCAUAGUAAGCCUCCAUGUGUUCCUAUGGCAGUGGACAUGUUUGGUAAACUUGUAAGAAUAGAGACUUUAUGCUGGAGGAAAAUCAC